AAUAAAGGCAAGCCAAGCCUGUUCCUCUGUGCUUGAGAGAAGACUCAAGUGCUGUAUUGCUAUCACCUGUGCUGAUGAGCACCUGAAAUGAGUUAAACCAUAUAGCACUGAGUUUCAGACGGUUUCUAAGAAAUUGCUCUUGUUGUAAGCACAGAAAUUCUCUGGCUGCGUGUUCUGCUGACUGCUGUGGAAUGUGUCUGCCCAAUUUCUGGGUGCGCUUCCCCCUUCACAUCUCCUCACCCCUGCCUGCUCCAACAGCCAGCCCUCCCCGUGACCACCACAGCACCAAGUCCUGGCUGUAUGACUGGGCUGAACAACAGGGCAGGUCCCGUGGUUUCUGUGGGAGUGAUCCUGUUAUUUCUCGGAUGGGAUCCGUCUCCAGUCCCUGCUCAAACUCGUGGUGGAGUCGAGGGAGAAGCGAGCAUUGAGGAAUCUCACUGAUAGUGCAGGCUAUGCUGUGAGUUAAGGCCAUAAUCUGCAGAGGAGUGGUUGCAGUUGUUUAUGCCAGUCCUUGGAGAAUGUGAGAAAUUAUAAAUGAAGAUUGCAGUCUGAUUUAUAUACGUAAUUUCUGUAAUGUAUUUCUGUGAUGGUGCAGAACUAAUUAUAGAUGACUAUAAAUACGCUAUCGUGACCCUUUUAAACAUUUAUUUUAUGGCUCUUGAGGAAGCAGUACUAAGUUUAGUAGGCUACGCUGAAUUAUUGACCUAACAAAUUAUAACCGUGGACUGCUGUAUGGUAUUGACAUAACAGAUUGUAAUGCCGUCUUUAGGAGUCAUUACAGAAUUUAAUUUGGGGCAUGUUGAACUUUGAGAUUUACCUUGGGCGGGAUGCUGGCUCUGUAAUGUGUGGGACAUAUGUUAACCUGUGUGUGCAGUGGACAAUUGUUGCAAUGUCUUCCAUAAAAGCCACAGAAAUUACUUAAUAAAUUCCA